UUACAGAAGAACUGAAUUACAGAACAAGAUGAACCAUAUAGUGCAUACAGGAUUACAGGAGAACUGAAUUACAGAACAAGGUGAACCAUAUAGUGCAUACAGGAUUACAGGAGAACUGAAUUACAGAACAAGGUGAACCAUAUAGUGCAUGCAGGAUUACAGGAGAACUGAAU